CCUACGGGAGGCAGCAGUAGGGAAUCUUUCACAAUGGGCGAAAGCCUGAUGGAGCAACGCCGCGUGCAGGAUGACGGCCUUCGGGUUGUAAACUGCUUUUAUAAGCGAGAAAUAUGAUGGUAACUUAUGAAUAAGGAUCGGCUAACUACGUGCCAGCAGCCGCGGUCAUACGUAGGAUCCGAGCAUUAUCCGGAGUGACUGGGUGUAAAGAGUUGCGUAGGUGGCAUAAUAAGUAGCUAGUGAAAUCUGGUGGCUCAACCAUUAAGACUAUUGGCUAAACUGUUAAGCUCGAGACCGUUAGGGGUAACUGGAAUUUCUAGUGUAGGAGUGAAAUCCGUAGAUAUUAGAAGGAACACCAAUAGCGUAGGCAGGUUGCUGGGACGGUUCUGACACUAAGGCACGAAAGCGUAGGGAGCAAACGGGAUUAGAUACCCGGGUAGUC
rnacentral:rRNA from 1 species